rnacentral:lncRNA from 1 species
GGCCAUCACUGGGGCGUGCCAUGUGGAAUCUGCCGUGGGAAGUGGGGCGCGGAUGCUGUCGCAUCUUGCCAGCAGAUCGUGCGAUAUCCGUUGCAAGAGGUGGAGCAGAAUCGCGGCCAUUUAUCAUGGCCUGUCAGGUAGUAAUGGAGCCGCGUGGGCGUGGGAUCCGUCACAGGGAGUGGAGCAGUGUUGCGACCGUUACUGCGGCUU